rnacentral:lncRNA from 1 species
AAUUCCGUGGUAAAUAUUUUAUUUUUUUCACUUUUUCUCUAUGACUUUUAAAAAUCUAUAUUUUGCUCUUUUAAAAUUUUAGAAAUAUUUUUAGAAAAGUACAACGUUAAUAAAGAGGGCAAAAUGACCAAAUUAUCUUUACUUCUUCUAAAAGAAAAAAAUAAUUUUUAAUAAAUUUCUAUCAUUAUGAAGGGUAUUUUCGGUUUUUGAUUUUGAGAGAUAGGUAACACGCUACCCGCUUCAUUUAUUUAUUUCAUUUAGAAUUAAACUUAACUGGAAAUGUGAAUCAACUAGGAUUUGAACUUGGAUCUCAUGUAUCAACCACCAAGUCCUUUUCCACUUGCUCUAGGGACGGUCAGUGGUUAUUUUCGGUACUAAUUAUAAAAAAUUGAUCAAAUAGUGAUGGAACCUUGACGGAGAGCGGCUAAAUGCAACAACUUUAAAUAUUGAGAGUGUAAAAUAUAGAUUUCCGAAAGUUAAGGAGUCAAAGUGAAAAAGCAGAUAUUUAUAAAGGGAUUUUAUGUAAUUUAGACUAAUUUUAUUACAAAU